UUUCCUUGGCAGAGUUUCUCGAUCUUCUAGAGAGUUCUCUCAACUACUCUCUUUUUCUCUCUUCUUUCUCUCACUAUAUCCUUCAUGUUCUUCAGCUUAAUCUUCACGUUUUCAUGGUAUCAGAGCCGGAUGAUCUUCGGAUCCUUCUUGGUUGCGUGUGAUCGAUCAUGUUCGAAGCUUUUGCUGAAGUUGUUUUAUGGUUACCAGUGAGAGAUACUGUUUGGAGAUGUUUCAACGAAUGUUGAGCGGAUAAUCGGAACUUUCCUGUUAUUCAAGGUUCCGAUCUUGUAUCAGUGGGUGUUUUGGGUAAUUUUCCAGUAUCCCAGGCUUUAUUCCGACGAGUUUUUCAAAUUCUAGGAUUUUCUGAUUUUCGGACCUAGAGAUUUGAUGUUAUCCGAUGACUUUGUCUUCGCUUGAUAGACGUGUUGGGUAACUUUCCGACGUCUGUGACCUUAUUCUGGUGAGUUUCAGAACCUACGGCUUCCGGUGUUGGACCUGGGGUUUUAUCUGACGUUUUGGGUAACUUUCCGACGUCUGUGACCUUAUUCCGGUGAGUUUCAGAACCUACAGUGUCCGGUGUUAGACCUAGAGUUUUCUCUGUUGAUUGAAGGCCAAUCUUCUCCGAUCGCGAAGAAGGAGGGUAACUCUGUCCUUAUUUUGAGUAUUGUAUGCUUUGUAUGUGAACUCUGGUUCCAUUAUAUUUUGCUUGCCGAAACUGUUUUCCUUUCAAACUGGUUCAUUAAUCAUGGCUUCUAAUACGAAUGCUAGUACCUCCUUGGUAGCUCUACCAGCCCCCUUUUUGUCUACUCCUCUGAUGUCCCUGGGGUCUCUCUUGUGCCCACUCCAUUCUCGGGCAGUGGUUAUGGGGGUUGGAGGAGGAAAAUGAUUGUCGCAUUAUCUGCUAAAAACAAAAUUGGUUUUGUUGAUGGCACAUGCUCCCGGCAAGUCACUAAUGUGGCUCAACAAAGGUUAUGGGACAGAUUCAAUAAUAUGGUGAUUUCCUGGUUAACUGUCUCCCUCUCCCCUCAAAUUGCUGAAAGUGUGCAGUACUCUGAUACUGCACAGAGUAUAUGGUCCCAACUUCAGGCCAGAUAUGGCACUGCAAAUAGGACC
rnacentral:lncRNA from 1 species